rnacentral:rRNA from 1 species
GAUGAACGCUAGCUACAGGCUUAACACAUGCAAGUCGAGGGGUAACGAGAGGAAAGCUUGCUUUCCUUGUCGACGACCGGCGCACGGGUGAGUAAUGCGUAUCCAACCUGCCCCCAACUAAGGAAUAACCUUGCGAAAGUAAGACUAAUACCUUAUAAUUUCCUCAGAUGUCAUCUGACGAGGAAUAAAGAUUUCUCGGUUGUGGAUGGGGAUGCGUCUGAUUAGCUUGUUGGCGGGGUAACGGCCCACCAAGGCAACGAUCAGUAGGGGUUCUGAGAGGAAGGUCCCCCACAUUGGAACUGAGACACGGUCCAAACUCCUACGGGAGGCAGCAGUGAGGAAUAUUGGUCAAUGGGCGGAAGCCUGAACCAGCCAAGUAGCGUGCAGGAUGACGGCCCUAUGGGUUGUAAACUGCUUUUAUACAGGAAUAAAGUUAGCCACGUGUGGUUAUUUGUAGGUACUGUAUGAAUAAGGACCGGCUAAUUCCGUGCCAGCCGCCGCGGUAA